ensembl:lncRNA
GGGAAAUUUUGGCAACCUGUCAAAUAACUGAGAAAGAGCUGCCUACAGAGCUGGUGCCUCUCCCUUGGCAGAUCUGCAGCAGCCUUGCUCACAGCUGGGAGGUAAGUAGCAAAGUCACCAGAGGGAAAGUCUCCUCUGGGGAAGAAGAGCAUCUUUUCCACUAAGGAGCUUGCCCGCGUUCCUUUAUUGGAGUCUCCCUGGAAGAACUACCAUGCUAUUUUGGAGUGGCUGCUAGGACUGUACAUUCCUAGUGAUGCUAUCUGCAGGAGGACGGCACUGAAACAAGAAGCUGGUGCAGCCACAUGGUAACAGUCAAAGAGGAUGUGUCUAGGCCCUCUUACAUCUCCGGAGUUAGAAGGUCACAAUCAUAGCUGGUUUCUGCUUUUUUUUGGAUCUACGGUUAAGCUGCAUUUGAGAAAACUACUGCAACCGUGACAGUUUUGCAUGUGGAUGAUUUGCUUUUGUGCUCUUGCAGCACAGGCUCUCAUCAGUAGAUUACUGGGCAUCAUUUCCAUCCCAAGCCAUAUGAGGUUGUUGUGCAUGAUGAACGUGAAACAUUUACCUGUAAUUUGAAGGGUAAUUUCAACUAUUUUUUUCAACCAAAGCAAUAAAUAAGCAUGUGGUUUCUCCAUAUCUCUCUGUGUCUACAUCUAUAAGAUUUUAAUGUUUAGGUUUCGGUCUAUAUUUUAUAUAGAAUGUCUGUAUUUUCUAUAUUAUGUCUAUAUUUUAUAUAGAAUGCACAAAAUCAUAAGAAACAUAUGUCUUAUAUAGAAUUAUUAUUGUUUAUUAUCCUUUUAAUAAUCGUUGUCAACUAUGUAAGGACAGAGCCUUAGGGAGAACAUUUUCUAUGAUAUAUCCAGUUGCUGCCACUCUGUCACAUUCUUUCUUUUGCUACACACACCACAGCUGUUGUUUGUGUGACACCAUAUCUGUUACCACUGUUUCUACCACAGAGCUAGAAAAAACAGCAGUAGUUGACUUAAAUUUGUAGGUUGUCAAAAUUUAAUACAGCGGUAUCUGUUAUCCUCUACAGGGCUCCUCCAUGGUGUUAUUUAAUUGGAGUGUGCAUAGUAAGACAGUUUGAAUGUAUCUGUAAUAUUUUAAUGUUUCUUAUAAUUUUCCAAAUAUCCGGCUUUUAAAUAGUAUAGAAAUAAAG